UUUUGUUUCCACAAAGUUUGAAUUAUUUUCUUCACUUCAUUUGAGAAAUAUAGGUGGAUUGAGAGACAUUCUUCAUUCAAACAAAAGUUUAACAGCUAUUUCUAAAACACAUAUCAUCUGAAGCUAUGGAAGUAGUUUGUGACUGUUUUGUUUCCACAAAGUUUGAAUUAUUUUCUUCACUUCAUUUGAGAAAUAUAGGUGGAUUGAGAGACAUUCUUCAUUCAAACAAAAGUUUAACAGCUAUUUCUAAAACACAUAUCAUAUGUGCACUGCGAGUCCUCGAACAGCUCCACGCGUCUCCAGCUCUGCCCAAGCCCGAGCCACGCGACGGGCUGUGAUCGCGCACGGACCAGACGAGAGCUCUUCAACUGUGUGAUCCAAAUGAAUUUGAGAACACCUAUUUACUGCUCCGCCCUGUGUCCUGCUGGCCAGAAGUGCCCAUCAAUUUCAAAGGCCUCUGUGUGACUGGAUUGAGGAAGCCAAGAGCAGGGAGAAGAAUAGAUCCAGGUCUUCCCAUUACUCCAAAAUGGAGCCUAGCCCUCUGGCAGCACAGUCGGCCAGCUGGGACCACGGUGGCCAUUACUGGAAGUGUGAUCAUCUGCCCUCUCUCCUCAGUGCCCUUGGAAUAUGUGCUCUUCUGUCUGGCUUCAAUUUCUCUUACUUCUUUGUGUGUGAAGAGUCUUCCUUUCAAUCAGCAAACUCUUCCUGCACACUAUAAAGCCCACUUUGGUCUUCAGAAUCUUUCAGUGCCUGAGCUUGUCAGUAUGAGGUUUCUCUUUCUUUAUUUCCAAAUGUCCUGCUUUCUUUGUGUGCAACUUCUUAAGAAUUUGGCAAAGUAAACAACAAAGCAGCAAUAUUUCAUAGGGUUUAAACUUCCCUUUGGUCCUGGAUAGAAAGGAUUUUUUUUUUUUUUUUGAGACGGAGUUUUGCUCUUGUAGCACUGGCUAGAGUGCAAUGGCGCAAUCUUGGCUCACUGCAACCUCUGCCUCCUGGGUUCAAGGGAUUCUCCUGCCUCAGCCUUCCGAGUAGCUGGGAUUACAGGCACCCACCACCACGCUGGCUAUUUUUUUUGUAUUUCUCAGGAGAGACAGCAUUUCACCAUGUUGGUCAGGCUGGUCUCGAACUCCUGACCUCAGGUGAUCCACCCACCUUGGCUUCCCAAAGUGCUGGGAUUAUAGGCCUGCCACCUGGAUCUAUUCUUCUCCCUGCUCCUGGCUUUUUCAAUCCAGUCACAAAGAGGCCUUUGAAAUUGAUGCCUGCCACCACACCUGGCAGAAAGGAUGUUUUUGUUUCUUCUUUUUCCUGUUCCUUUCUCUGCAAUCAUCUCUCUGAGUCUCAGACAUGUGGCACUGGUUGGCUGGCAGCACCUUCUGUGUGUCUGAGCCCUUACAUAGCUUCCAGAGGAAGGGGUGCUCCGUUGGGGUCCUGCCUGCUUUUGGAGCAUUAGAAUCUCCUUUUUUGCAAGCCUCUGUCUCCCAUCAUUUAACACCCAGCUGUGUCUCUCUGCCCACUGACCAGAAUCUUUUCGCAGUAGGUGGGUUUUAAAAAGCACUCACCAGAACUCCCAAAUGCUAGGGUCUCAUGGCCCCUCAAAAACUCAUUACCUUCUCUUUGGGAUCCUCAGACCUGGCAGGAACCUCACAUAGGAAGAAAGGCAGCCAGGGAGCAGGCAGUGAGGACAGGUUGUAAUCAGGCAGUUCUGGCUGGGCAUAAAGUCUGCUCCUGCUGAAGGCAAGCUGCUCAACACUGCACUGGACAUCCUCCAUGUGUGGAAUCUAGGCAAAGCAGCUCUGUCCUCUAUUAACAAAUAACUGAGCCUGGGCAAUCUGUUACUUCAACUGUCCUUUCAAGCCAGGCUUUGCAGUAACAGGAAUUUGAGGUCCAGCAUGCAGAGACAGACCUAAGUGUGAGCCUCUGCUACUUAUGAGCUGUGUGACCUGGGGCAAAUUACUUAACCUCUCUAUACCCUAUUCCCUUCACUUGUGCAAUAAGAAUAAAUAAUACCACACACUUCGGAGGCAUGGCGUAAGACUCAAAUGACUAAUAUAGGGAUAGUUCAGGGGCAGAUACACGGUUGGAAAGCACACUAGAAAUAUCAGUAGAAUCUGAAUUUUCCCCUACCUGCCUCCUUGUUUUCACUACAAAUAACAUUUCCUUUCCUGCUUUUAAGUCAAGAGGGGAACACACUGAUUCUUUAGCAGACAGUUUAGCACACACUUCAAGCCAGAGAGUGUACCAGCAAUGUGGAUUCAGAAAUAAAUAUGAUGGGAGCCCUGCUCUCACAGGAUGGGGUUGGGGGUGGGGGAUAAAGUCCCAAGGGAGUUGGACAGUCUCCAGAUGGGUAGUCACUGCUGGGCAGAAACACAUGAGGGAAGUGUCAGGAGCCCGAAAGAAGCUCUGAACAGGUUGGAACACGUUUUCUGGAGGAUGGGACAUUGAAACUGAAUCACCUACAAUGUUGAAGGCAGAUGGUAACCUAAGAAAGGUAAAGCCUUGUUAAUCAAAUCAAUUCUUUUCACUUUAACUGUAUUGGAAAGAUACUUUAAAAAAUCUUCAUAACAACUGAAGCUCGAUGAUGCCUUGAUUCUGCAUUAACAUCCUUGCCCAUUUCUUGAUACAUUUUCAAUUUACCUUCAUGGUAAUUUACACUCAAGGAAGCUGUCCAAGAUAUGCGGGGGAUUCAAUAAAAUAGGUCAUGGAGUUAAAUGCUGUGGUGAAACACAGGGCUUAAUUUUAUGGAUAAAAUUUAAACUGCUUAGCUGCCUUUUUUGCAUUAUUCAUGUUAAGACUAAUGAUUACUCACUAAAUGGGAAGGAAUCACUGUAGAAAUCAGGAAGCCAUUUUCUUAAUUCUUUAAGCACAUCUGAUGGAGCUGUGGACUCUGCCCUUGAGGUUAACAGCAUUGUAUUAGGGAAGAGACCUGCUUGGCCCACCAGUCAACCUCCCUUGCCUGGGCUGCUCCUGAAACUGCUACAGGAACAGGAAACUUGAAACAAGAUUUUUUCCUAAAAUUGACAUUGGGUAGAAUGAACAGGAUAGAAGACAAUAUAUUAAUGUCAGUUCCUUCUGGUAUUUUUCAAAGUGAAGUCUGCAUUGAUGUCAUUGACAAAAAUGCAAAUUCCAGAUUGUAACCAAAUCUGCUUACUGGCAGUGAGGUUUAGGCACUUUAAUUAUUCACAAGCAUCCCAGGCAAUUCUUAUGUGCUAGUGGAGAACCACAGAUUGGCAUUGGCUAUAGAGAGACCACUUCCUUUCAGUCAUCCAAGGUUAUUUUAUUAACUUAGCACUGGGCUCCAACGUAAACAAGGGCUACUUUUCUAUAAUGAUCAAAUUACUAAUUUUAUAAGUAUAGAAUAAAAGGAUAUGGGUUUCUUAGAUUGUAAAUGUUUGAUGUAGUUAAUGCAAUUUCAUUUUUGAGGUUUGUUUCUAAUAAUACUCUUAAUUUACAUGUCUAAUGGAUUCCUUGUACACAAUUCUGAUCAUGUAAAUUUAAGAUGAUCUUUUCCACUUUGCAAUACAAGACAUUUAAAAUAACCUAAAGUUGCCCAUUCUCACUAAGCACCUGAAAAUUAGUCCCUGUGGGGAAACUUUUUUCAAGUUUUAUUUUUCUUUUUAUUUCAAGUGUUGUUUAUAUUGUUUCUCUAACUGUUCUACCUAAUGAUUGAUAGGCACCUACCUUCCCCAAAGAAAAAGGGUUAAGUGAUCAAAUAUGUUUGGGAAACACGAGGGCAAACAAAGUGAAACAGACUUUUACUGCAGAUUGCGGAUCCUUUGAGAGCCCUUAAUGUGCACAGUAAUUCUCCAAGAAGGGGACAGAAGUCCCUGGGCUUCCCAUGCUUGUUUAGUUUUUAUGGAUCCCUCUGCUGGAUGAGUGUUCACAGGACCACACUUUGUGAAAUACUCAGUCAGCUCUAUCAGCAAAUUAUAUCACGGGAAUUGGUUACUUUCAUUUGGAUGCUUUGCCCAUGUUACCCAGACUUAGGAAAAUAUUUUACAAUUUGGGGUGUAUAUGAGAUAUUUGGGGGCAUUUUCUCCAAUAUCAACUUCCUGCUUCUGAAAUUCAGGUUAAAACACUGACCUAAAUUACGGAAAUCACAAUCUCCUUCACCAUCACCAACAGUGCCACCAUCAUCAAAUCAUGAUCAGCAUCGACCAACACGAUGAUUCCCACUACCACUAUCACAUUAAUAGCACCACUACCAUCCUACCGUGCCCAGCGAGACAACUGCCAUCACGGUCACUAUGACCAACACCAUAUUACCACCGCUGCCACUAAUAUGCCUCAUUGCUAUGCCAAUAAUCACUAACAGCAUUACCACCACACUCCAACUAACCAAUGCUGCUGCCAUCAUUACUGCCAUGAUCUGUACUACCACCACUGCCACUAGUGCAAACAUCACCACUACUGCUGUUAAAGCAGCCACCACCACUGCACCCACUGUCGCCACUGUCCUUUCCACAUCCAGAUGAAGAAAGAAGAAGAGAUAGAAAGCAUAGUUUCAUUAUUCUAGGUCAUAUUCAAAGGUUGGUCACUAGAUAUAAUUGCACAUAUGUUCCCCUAGUUACUAUGGCAUCCCAAUAGCCAUCAAGUGGAACCAGACAUGGUAUCAUAGCAGAAUCCUGAGGUCUAAGGUCUAGUUUAAAUAAGACUUCUGAUCCAAGGUAGGGGUCCCUCAAUUACCUCUAUGACAGGAGGCAAAGAUGUCACACACGACUGCAUGUCAGCUAAACUCAUUGGAAGAUUCAUUUCUGCCUUCAUAAAUGUAGACACUGGGCUUCAGCUAGUUGUAAGGGAGCAGCCCCUGGUGCAAGCCACGUAGCAACUAGAGGGGCUUUAAAAUCAGCACAAAAUUAAGUUUUAUUGCUGCUUUGAGGAAUGUUCAGGUUGGUGGGAGGGGAUUACAGCAGACAAGUGUUUAAUUUACUCAACUAUAUGCUCAAGUUUAUGUAACUGAGCUAUUUUAAAAUUACAUUUUAUGUAUGCAUUGCUGUAUAUAUUGCACAUAUAUAAAUGUACAAUAAUAAUAAAGAGUGGCAUAUAUGAGUCUCAGGAAUUGUGCCAAAGGCUUUACAUAUACUCUCUUUAAUCCUUUUAACUCCUGUAUGAAAGGAGUGUGACUGUCAUUCUCAUUUUCCUAAUGAACAAACUGUGGCAUGAAGAGGUUAAAUAAUUAGCCUAAGCUUACAAAGCUAAUUAAUUGUAAGACUAAGAUCUAAACCCAGGUAGUCUGGUUCCAGGGCCCAUGAUCUUAACCAACACUCUACAUUUUAACACACUGUCUGCACAUUGUCUACACACAGAUGCAGUGUGUGUACAUCAGUUGUAUAAAUAUAUCAUCUUGCAUGAAGUAAUUUAAGGGAUGUUCAAGGAUAUUGUUGAUUAUAUGCAAUUUAUCUCAUGUGCUGAUUUUUAAGCCUAGUCCCAGAGGAAAUGCAAGUUCACUGAAAUCUAAGGGGGGAAAAAAGACACGAAAAACCAACAAGUGCAAAGCAGUGUGGUGCAGAAUGUGGUGGCAGAGCAACAACCACUCUCAGCAAAAUCCUCAUUAAUUCAUGCCAGUGUGUUCAAGUUCUUAGUGCGUCUCAAGAAAAAAUAUCUCAGGUUCGAAUUGCUGCAAAGUUUUUCAAGCACAUCCACCGAUAGCAAGACCCACUGGAGGCAGAUCAGCGAUGAGUCUGAGGGCGGCACAAAGGGUGCUACCAGGUGAUCACCAGUCCUUCCUCCUCAUCCUUAUUCAUUCCUUAGACAUCUUGAUAUUAGAAAUUAUUGGUUUGUGAAUGCACCUAUUGUUAACUCUUUCAAUAUACAAAUACAUGCAAACAUAUGUAUAUUCUACAUAUAUGGACAGGCACAGAUUUUUUUUUAUGUUGGGCUCCCUCAAACAGAAUUAAUCUGUGAGGGUAUAAACCCACUUCACAAUGUCCACAGUGGGGCCAAAACCGCUUUUGAGGUGAUCAACUCUAUGCUGGGAGCAGGGGAGUUCUGGGCUGAACUCAAAGAUGCUUUUCAGCUCUAAAGUACCAUCAUCAUCUUCAUCCUCAUCUUCCUUUUCUCUUAAGUGCCCAGAAUGUGCCAGGCUCUGUGCUGUUUACAGGGUUUAUAUUCUCACAAAAAUCUCAAAAGCCAAUUGCCAGAAUUUCUCUAAAGUUUCUUAAUUGGUUUGGCACAAGCUGGAAAUGGUAGUGCUUGGAUUUGAAAGCAGGCCCAUUUGCCUGGCUUUGAAGUUUUUUUUUUAUGUUUUUGGUGCUUGUUUUUACCAUACUACGCAUCUCUUAAAUUCUUUGUCCCUAAAAUGGGGGAGGGGGCAAUAAUGCCAACCUCAUGGGAUUGUUUUGGCAAUUAAAUAACAAUGUAAAAUUCUUUUUGUAAAAUUUAAAGAGCCAUGCACAUAUAACAUUACUAUUAUUUUGGCUUCAUGUGAUUUUUUUUUUUUUCUGUAACAAAUUUACUUAAAUAUCUAGAUAAUGACUUCAAGAAAAUUGUCUUCCUUUGUAAUUCUACAUAUUUUAUUUUUAAAUAAUUUUAGACUUAUGAGUGUUUUAAAGAUAGUACAAAGAGUUCCCAUAUAUCCUUUAUUCAGCUUCUACUAAUGUUAAUAACUUAAAUAACCAUGGUACAGUGAUCUGAACCAGGAAACUAACAUUAAUUCAACACUGAUCUAGAGACAUCAUUUCUAUUUCCCUAUUGUUCCACAGUUCAAUCGAGGAUCUCACAUUGCACAUAGUUGUCCUGUAUCUACAGUCUCUGCUAAUCAAGGACAGCUCCUCAGUCUUCAGCACCUGGGCUUUUACAAAGAGCACUGCAAAGAAGCCAACUGCUGGUUCUCCACUCUGAAUGAUCAUCGCUUCCCAUUUGGAAGACAAAGAUGGUUACUGGCCUUGGCAUAUUAACCCUGGAGCUGCCUCCUCAGGAAGUGAAGAGUUGGGCUUGGCUGGCUGGUAUAGCAGCAGCGACAGCAGCAGAGACAGCAUGGCCUGCUCAGAAGGGGCGCCCUAGUUGCCAAGGAUGAGGGCACUGGCUUUGCACUCUUUGAGACUGGGGCUUUACCUAACAAACACUUGCAAAACUUAUUACCCCUCCAGUCCUCAAGUUUCCUUGUACCUAUAGAAUAGGAAUGUUAAAACUUACUUCACACAACUGUUUUGAGGAUGAAUUGGCUAUUUGAAAACUUGGGCACUGGAAGAAGUCCAGUGAAGGACAGUGUCACUUCCGCUGUUCACCCUUUCAUGCUUAAUUAACAUUUAAUUAAUCAAAUAUGUUGUUUCUUUUUGUAUUUUUUUAACUGAGAUAAAUGUAGAUUUACAUAUAGUUGUAGAAAUAAUACAGAAUUAUCCCGUGUACCCCUUACCUAGUUACCCCCAAUGGUAACAUCUUGCAAUAUUAUACCACAAUGUCACAACCAGGAUAUUCAGAUAGAUGUCAUCCACUGAUCUUACUCAAAAUUCACUCAUUUUCCAUACAGUCCUUUGAUUGUGUGGUAGUUCUGUGAAAUUUCAUCCCAUCUGUAGUUUUCAUGUAAUCAUCGCCACAGUCAAGGCACAGAAUGCUUCACUUCCAUCACUAUAAGGAACCCUUGUGUUGCCCUUUUAUAACCACACCCACUUCUCUCCUGUCUCCCAAACUCCAUCUCUAAUCCCUGUUAACCACUGAUAUGUUCCUUACUUACACAAUUUUAUCAUUUCAAGAAAGUUACAGAUAUUGAAUCACAUAGUAUGUAACCUUUUAGGAUUGGUGUUUUUCACUCAGCAUUAUUCCCUGGAGAUCAUCCAAGUUGUUGCACGAAUGAUUUGUUUCUUUUAUUGCUGGGGAGUAGUCUAUGGUAUGGAUGUAUCACAGUUUAAUUAUUCGCCCCUUGAAGGACAUUUGGGUGGUUUCUAGUUUCUGGCUAUUGUAAAUGAAACUGUGAUGAACGUUUGUGUACAGGUUUCUGUGUGAACACAAGUUUUCAUUUCUCUGGGAUAAAUGCCUGUGAGUGCAACUGCUGGGUCAUAUGGCAAUUGCAUGUUUAGUUUUACAAGAAACUGCCAAACUGCUUUCCAGAGUGGCUGUGCCAUUUUAAAUUCCCUCCAGCAAUUAUAAGAGGUGCAGUUUCUCGGCAUUCCUUCCAAAAUUUGAUGGUGUUGCCAUUUUUUAUCUUAGCCAUUUUGGCAGGUGUGUAGUAAUAUCUUAUUGUGGGUUUUACGUUGCAUUUCCCUAAUUGUUAAUGUUGUUAAAUAUUUUCUCAUGUGCUUAUCCGCUAUCUGUGUAU
rnacentral:lncRNA from 10 species